rnacentral:rRNA from 1 species
CCUACGGGAGGCUGCAGUGGGGAAUAUUGCACAAUGGGGGAAACCCUGAUGCAGCAACGCCGCGUGAGUGAAGAAGUAUUUCGGUAUGUAAAGCUCUAUCAGCAGGGAAGAGAAUGACGGUACCUGACUAAGAAGCCCCGGCUAACUACGUGCCAGCAGCCGCAGUAAUACGUAGGGGGCAAGCGUUAUCCGGAUUUACUGGGUGUAAAGGGAGCGUAGACGGCUGGCCAAGUCUGAAGUGAAAGCCCGGGGCUUAACCCCCGGACUGCUCUGGAAACUGUGUAACUUGAGUGCAGGAGAGGUAAGCGGAAUUCCUAGUGUAGCGGUGAAAUGCGUAGAUAUUAGGAGGAACACCAGUGGCGAAGGCGGCUUACUGGACUGUAACUGACGUUGAGGCUCGAAAGCGUGGGGAGCAAACAGGAUUAGAUACCCGAGUAGUC